AUUGAACGCUGGCGGCAUGCCUUACACAUGCAAGUCGAACGGUAACGGGUCCUUCGGGAUGCCGACGAGUGGCGAACGGGUGAGUAAUAUAUCGGAACGUGCCCAGUAGUGGGGGAUAACUGCUCGAAAGAGCAGCUAAUACCGCAUACGACCUGAGGGUGAAAGGGGGGGAUCGCAAGACCUCUCGCUAUUGGAGCGGCCGAUAUCAGAUUAGCUAGUUGGUGGGGUAAAGGCCUACCAAGGCAACGAUCUGUAGUUGGUCUGAGAGGACGACCAGCCACACUGGGAAUGAGACACGGCCCAGACUCCUACGGGAGGCAGCAGUGGGGAAUUUUGGACAAUGGGCGCAAGCCUGAUCCAGCAAUGCCGCGUGCAGGAAGAAGGCCUUCGGGUUGUAAACUGCUUCUGUCAGGGAAGAAAUCUUCUGGGCUAAUACCCCGGGAGGAUGACGGUACCUGAAGAAUAAGCACCGGCUAACUACGUGCCAGCCGCCGCGGUAA
rnacentral:rRNA from 1 species